rnacentral:rRNA from 1 species
CCUGCCCUGAAGCGGGGGACAACAGCUUGAAAGAGCUGCUAAUACCGCAUGUGUUUAUCGGAUGGCAUCAUUUGAUAAACAAAGCAUUUAUGCACUUCAGGAUGGGCCUGCGGCCUAUCAGCUAGUUGGUGUGGUAACGGCUCACCAAGGCUUCGACGGGUAGCUGGUCUGAGAGGACGAUCAGCCGGAUUGGGACUGAGAUACGGCCCAG